GAGUUUGAUCAUGGCUCAGAAUCAACGCUGGCGGCGUGCCUAACACAUGCAAGUCGAACGAGAAAGGGGAGCAAUCCUUGAGUAAAGUGGCGCACGGGUGAGUAACACGUGACUAACCUACCCUGGAGUGGGGAAUAACUGAGGGAAACCUUAGCUAAUACCGCAUAACGCCUACGGGUCAAAGGAGCAAUUCGCUUCAGGAGGGGGUCGCGGCCGAUUAGUUAGUUGGCGGGGUAAUGGCCCACCAAGACGAUGAUCGGUAUCCGGCCUGAGAGGGCGCACGGACACACUGGAACUGAAACACGGUCCAGACUCCUACGGGAGGCAGCAGUGGGGAAUUUUGCGCAAUGGGGGAAACCCUGACGCAGCAACGCCGCGUGGAGGAUGAAGUACUUCGGUACGUAAACUCCUUUCGAUCGGGACGAUUAUGACGGUACCGAGAGAAGAAGCCCCGGCUAACUUCGUGCCAGCAGCCGCGGUAAUACG
rnacentral:rRNA from 1 species